UACGUAGGGGGCAAGCGUUGUCCGGAUUUAUUGGGCGUAAAGAGCUCGUAGGCGGUUCCGUAAGUCGAGUGUGAAAAAUCUGGGCUCAACCCAGUGGAGCACUCGAUACUGCGGUGACUAGAGUACGGUAGAGGAGUGUGGAAUUCCUGGUGUAGCGGUGAAAUGCGUAGAUAUCUGGAGGAAUACCGGUGGCGAAGGCGGCAUCCUGGACCGGCAUUGACGCUGAUGAGCGAAAGCUAGGGGAGCAAACGGG
rnacentral:rRNA from 1 species